UAAGGGUUUCAUUGGGUUGAUCACUAAUCAUCUGAGGGUUGGUGAUUCAAAUCAGGGUUUCAUGGCUCCUCAAGGGGAUUGAGUUUCAUCUUGGUUGAAAUGGUACAUCAUCAUCAUCAUGGUUUUGUCAUCACCAAGAGAUUGAUCAGAUACCUUGAGAUUAGGGUUUUGACCUCUGGUCAACCCUAAUCAGUUGUAUUGGGCCAAUCAGGGUUUGUGAAGGAGAUGAGGGUCUACAAUGGAUAUGGGGAUCAUUUCAUGAUUAUAUUGAGCUUA
rnacentral:lncRNA from 1 species